rnacentral:lncRNA from 1 species
UGAAAUUCCUAGAUGAUCCUUCCUGUGUUUUGCUUUCCUGUGUAUUUUGAAGAGAAGAGCACAAGGAUAUUAAUGUCAGGCAAAGCUGCAGGGCUCCUGUAGGACCAUGGUGGUUGCGACUCUGCAUCCAGUUGGAUGUUCCCCGGCUUCCCAUCUUGUUGUUCUGAUGCUUCAAUCCUUUUUGUCAUCAAGACCUGUCUGCCAAUGCCUUGCAAAGCAAAUCUUUGCCAUGUCCCCGAUGACUGAGGACACAGAGGAUUCGGUUGCUGGCCUCAGCUGUGGUUCUCCUUUGCUGGAAGUUUUGAAGUAUCAUGAAACAGAAAAAAGUUGAAUUAUAUAUUUUAUUAAAUAUUUUGUAUUCGCGGUGUGUGUGCAUGUGCACGCGUGUGUGCUUUAAUGCCGCAGCAUUUGUAUGGAGGUCAGAGAACAGCUUGCAGGAGGUAAUUCCCUGCUUCUAUCCUGUGAGUUGCAGGGAUUGAACUUGGGUGAUCAGUCAUAGCCACCAAUGCCUUUACUCAUCUUGCUGACUGGGAGGAG